rfam:Amborella trichopoda AMTR_V1.0_contig_23857, whole genome shotgun sequence.
UUGAGCCGUAUGCUGGGAGACCUGCAUGUACGGAUCUUAAGGGGGGAAAGUUCGAGAGGACAUACCUAUCCUAAC